AAAAGCACAUAUGAGUGGUAGGGGAGCUUAGUAUAUGGGUUGAAGCAUGACCGAAAGGACAUGUGGACUGUAUAGUAGUGAGAAUGCCGGAAUAAGUAGCGAAAGUGAAGUGAGAAUCUUUACCGCCGAAUAUCUAAGGAUUCCUGGGGAAGGCUCGUCCUCCCAGGGUUAGUCGGGGCCUAAGCCGAGGCUGAGAAGCGUAGGCGAUGGACAACAGGUUGAUAUUCCUGUACCACCGUUAUUCGUUUGAGAGAAGAGGGGACGCAGGGAGAUAGAGUGAGCGAGCGACUGGAAGAGCUCGUCCAAGGGGAAUAGAUAGUUCUGCAGGCAAAUCCGCAGGAUGUUUCGAAGCCUUGAUGGGGAGGGAAAAUAAGUACCGAAGCACUCGAUUCUGCACUGACGAGAAAAGCCUCUAUCGAGAAUAAAGGUGCCCGUACCGCAAACCGACACAGGUAGAUGAGGAGAGAAUCCUAAGGCGAGCGGGAGAAGCAUUGUUAAGGAACUCGGCAAUUUGACCCCGUAAGUUCGCGAGAAGGGGUGCCUUCAGAGGAGCAAUCCAAUGGAGGCCGCAGAGAAAUGGCCCAGCAACUGUUUAUCAAAAACACAGGUCUCUGCUAAAUCGUAAGAUGAAGUAUAGGGGCUGACGCCUGCCCGGUGCUGGAAGGUUACGGGGAUUUGUUAACGCAAGUGAAGCAAUGAACUUAAGCCCCAGUAAACGGCGGCCGUAACAAUAACGGUCCUAAGGUAGCGAAAUUCCUUGUCAGGUAAGUUCUGACCCGCACGAAUGGCGUAAUGAUUUGGGCACUGUCUCGACAAUGCACCCGGUGAAAUUGUAGUACUCGUGAAGAUGCGAGUUACCCGCGACUAGACGGAAAGACCCCAUGGAGCUUUACUGUAGCCUGAUACUGUAUUUCGAUAUUUCAUGUACAGGAUAGGAGGGAGGCUGAGAAGCCAGGACGCAAGUCUUGGUGGAGCCAACGUUGGGAUACCUCUCUUGAGAUAUUGGAAUACUAACCAGAGGCCAUAAACUGGUCUUGGGACAAUGUCAGGUGGGCAGUUUGACUGGGGCGGUCGCCUCCAAAAGAGUAACGGAGGCGCCCAAAGGUUACCUCAGCACGGUUGGAAAUCGUGCAACGAGUGCAAAGGCAUAAGGUAGCCUGACUGCGAGACCCACAAGUCGAGCAGAUACGAAAGUAGGGCUUAGUGAUCCGGCGGUAUGAGAGUGGAAUUGCCGUCGCUCAACGGAUAAAAGCUACCCUGGGAUAACAGGCUUAUCUCCCCCCAGAGUCCACAUCGACGGGGAGGUUUGGCACCUCGAUGUCGGCUCAUCGCAUCCUGGAGCUGAAUUCGGUUCCAAGGGUUUGGCUGUUCGCCAAUUAAAGCGGUACGCGAGCUGGGUUCAGAACGUCGUGAGACAGUUCGGUCCCUAUCUGUCGUGGGCGCAGGAUAUUUGAAGGGAGCUGUCCUUAGUACGAGAGGACCGGGAUGGACGAACCUCUGGUGCACCAGUUGUCACGCCAGUGGCACGGCUGGGUAGCCAAGUUCGGCAGGGAUAAACGCUGAAGGCAUCUAAGCGUGAAGCCCCCCCUAAGAUGAGAUAUCCCACCGCAAGGGUAAGACCCCAUGUAGACUACGUGGUUGAUAGGUCAGGAGUGGAAGUGCAGUAAUGCAUGGAGCUGACUGAUACUAAUAGGUCGAGGGCUUGAUC
rnacentral:rRNA from 1 species